UUCCUCGUGGCUUAAUCGGUAAAGAAUCUGCCUGCAGUGCAGGAGACCCAGGUUCAAUCCUUGGGUGGGAAA
rnacentral:tRNA from 1 species